rnacentral:misc_RNA from 1 species
CAUUGGGCAAAGUGAGAGUGAGAACGAGAAAAGAAAAAUCAGAAUGUUACAGUUCCCGGCGUAUAUGACGCAGUACCCAUGGUCAACGAGGACGAUUCCGACUUCAUGUCUGCUACCGUCACAAUGGCCUCAACCUUACAGCGAAGAGCUCCUCCUUGCCAUGGAGGAAUCCGAUUUCGAAGAGAAGUUCUUAUGCAACAACUUCCAUAUGCAAGCCCCCUCCUCAUAGUUUCAUCUAGUUAUUCGUCAGGAAAAACAGCAAGUAUGAUUUUUAUACUUUGAGAAAUGGAACAAGCUAGAAAGAGUGGAUGGUGAUGUAUUCAACUCAUUCUUUAGCAUGUAGUUUGGUAUUUAAUUUUAAUUCUUGUCCAUAAUGGAAACUGGAAAAGGAGCUUGUGUUUUAAGGUUUGUACUAGCAAGGAUGUAGAUGUUCUGAGCUGUGAUGCAAUUGUUUAACUGGAGAAUCUUGGUUGUAUGUGGAAGUUUUAGGGUGCCAUUGGAAGCCUUAUUGUUCAAGCAGUUUCAUAAUUGAGAAAGCACUGCUAUUGUGGCCUUCAUGUUGAUGUUUUGGUAGUCUAAAAAAUAACAAAUGAAGACAGAUUUUGGUUCUUUUGUCUUCCAGUCAGAUAUUUGGACCAUCGUGGUCUAUCAGAUAAGGAAAAAAUUGAUCUGGGAUUUAGCAGAGAUUGCAUGGUUAUUUAUUCCCAAUUAAAGUUGUUUGUGUCUUUGUUAGGUCCUUUAAUUUCUCCAUGAAACUACGAAGACCAUGUCCUAAGAUGAGCAACUCUCUCUCUCACACACAUUCAUGAAUAAUUUUUGAAGCUAUAAUUUAUUUGUAUUUGUAUAAAUGAGAAUCUGAUUUUUAUUAUUUGACAUAGGGUAGCUUCAAAUUUUGUCUUCCUAAUCGAUUGUAUUAUGGACAUGUCUGAGUGUGCGUUCUCAUGUGCACCCAUGCACACGUAUUUUCUCAUGUGUAUGAUAUUAGGAAUUUCAGUCUGCAUUUGUGCCCCGAUUAUUUUUCCACCUUUUUCCCUUUUGAUGACUUACUGUACAAUGUUUGCAGUGCAAUGAAAUCAGAAAGACAAACAGCAACCUCCCGGUGAUUGGGAAAACUACUGUUGAUAAUGAUAAAGAAGACUAUGAUAAUGAUGCUGACGAUGAUGAUGCUGAUAAUGCAGAGGAAUCUGAAGGCGAAGAAUUUGUUGAGCAAGAAACUGGCUGAAUGUAGUUAACUUUUUUUUCUCUGAUACCAUCUUAAGAAUUUGAGCAAGAAAUUGGCCUUAGUUUUUCGAAAGUUUUAUCGUACUGCCCAUUUAUGUUCAAUAGAGGCUGUUUUGACCUUACCAAUUGAAUUAAUCUCAAUUUAUAUAUUUAAAUCUCUUGUACUUUAAUUUGAUAAAUAAUAAAGCUAUUAUAAGCGGUAAU